rnacentral:rRNA from 1 species
UACGGGAGGCAGCAGUGAGGAAUAUCGGUCAAUGGGCGCGAGCCUGAACCAGCCAAGUAGCGUGCAGGAAGACGGCCCUAUGGGUUGUAAACUGCUUUUAUACAGGGAUAAAGUGCGCCACGUGUGGUGUAUUGCAGGUACUGUAUGAAUAAGGACCGGCUAAUUCCGUGCCAGCAGCCGCGGUAAU